UACGUAGGGGCCGAGCGUUGUCCGGAAUUACUGGGCGUAAAGCGCGCGCAGGCGGCUGGUCAAGCCCGACGUGAAAGCCCCCGGCUCAACCGGGGAGGGUCGUCGGGGACUGAUCGGCUUGAGGGCGGUAGGGGCCGGUGGAAUUCCCGGUGUAGUGGUGAAAUGCGUAGAUAUCUGGAGGAACACCGGUGGCGAAGGCGGCAUCCUGGACCGACACUGACGCUGAGGCGCGAAAGCCAGGGUAGCAAACGGG
rnacentral:rRNA from 1 species